GCCGUAAGCUUCCGAAGAAUCUUUUGGGGUCUCGCUGUCACAGGACGAUGGCGUGGGACUCAUCUUCUCAUCAUUUAGAACGUGCGUCAGGAGACAUAGUUUUGGGACCAGAUCUUCGAUCACGUUUUUCUUGUCCGUCCUUGGAUCACACAGUUGAUAUGAAAUCUUCCUCACGUGUAAAACACGUGCAUGCACUAAUGCGAAAGUCCUAGUCUCUCUCAAUCUCCAACGUCAUCUUCCUCCUCCCUCCCACUGCCCCCCCUUUCCCCGUGGCCUCCAAUGACAUCUUGUGCCCUCCUCCUCCAACGUCGUGUCCCUCCAGCGACGUCCUGUGGCCUCCCUCCAACAACUUCCCUGUUGCGUCGCCGACCUCCAGCGGCCUCCAAAGACCUCCCUAUUGCGUCGUCGACGUCCUCGGUGACCUCCCUCCCGCGAGCUCUGCGACCUUCAUCGGCCUCCCUCCCUGGCACCGUGUGGAAGAAAGCGAGGACCUUUUCUGUAAUUAGAUCAAAGUAAUUAUCAUGGAGGGUGAAUCUACAAGUUGUCAUCAUUUUAAUUUUGAGGAAAAUGAAGCUAGUCAGGAAGGUGACUUUGAUGUUAUUGAUGAAGGUGCAUCAACCAUCUCAUCUUGGUUAUUUUCCAACAAAUUACCUGGAGUAAUGCUACAAAAGGUAGUUAUUUUUACAGCAAUGUAGUUAGUACAAAGGGUUUUGUAAAAUUUGGAAGCUGGAGAUUUUUGAUAGGCUGAAUUUCUCUUAUAUUGUGAAAACUAAUGGAUGAAGAAUCAGAAUCUUGGUGGAGCUUAUUUGAGUGCAUUUCUUUAGUGUUAAACUGAAGUUCAUGUUGAUUUGUGGCGUUUGUUGGCAAGUUUGUUGUGAUAGUUGUUGAUCAGAACUAUGGUGUCAAUCUUUGGUGUGCAAUUGUUGUUUUUAGGAGUAUUUGUUUGUAAAGAUUCUACUGAUGUAAAGAUUUUAGUGUGAAUGCAUUGAUGUAGAAUGUGGAGAUCUUGUGAUAUUAUUUUAUG